GGUUUUUCCGUCCUUCUUAUGUUCACCUUCUCAGAGUGCUGACUGAACACCGACCAGAGAAGAGGGAAGGCAGAGGAAAAGAUUCUGAAUAAUGGGGGCCUCGGUGUCUGUACGGAACCAAACACCUUACACUUGGCACUACGAACUUGUCGGCGACGGAGGUGGCAGGGGCACGUUGCAUGGCUGGGGUAGUGAAAAAUUGACCUCAAAUCUAGGUGUAUCCAUUGCUACCUAAAGUUAAGAUAUGACAAUCACAGUUAUAACUCCUUCUCAUAUGAAUUCAACAGUCACAAGCAGGGCGGGAGUCAAACAUUCACUAUUAUAGAAACCAGUGGCCGUUCACUUAUUCAACUACUGUGCGACGCUGAGUCUAAUAGUCCAACAUGUCCAAACUAUGGGAAGCAAGAGGAAGACCGUAUCCGUCAGCAGCAGGAGGAGAUGGAGCGGCGAAGACAGGAGGAGCAACGAAGACGACAGCAGGAGGAGAGGAGGCGCCAGGAGCAACUGGAGAGGGAGAGGAGAAUCCAGCAAGAAAUCGAAAGGGAGUGCGAGCUUUCGUGUAAGAAGGUGUCAAAGGGACGAGAACAGCUGAGACAGAAGCUGAGUCUUAAAGGACAACAGCGCCAUCACCAGCGUACACAAGAACUACACCAGAUGAUAGAAGAUGAUGCUGCUGCAAUCG